rnacentral:rRNA from 1 species
CUAUACAUGACUCUGCGCAUAUCAAUAAGCGGAGGAAAAGAAACUAACAAGGAUUCCCUCAGUAACGGCGAGUGAAGCGGGAAGAGCUCAAAUUUGAAAUCUUGAAAGGUCACCUUUCACGAAUUGUAGUUUAAAGAAGUGUUUUCUGUUACGAUCGUAAUAUAAGUUCUUUGGAAUAGGACAUCACAGAGGGUGAGAAUCCCGUCUAUGAUUGCGAUUUGUAGCUUUGUGUUACACUUUCAAAGAGUCGGGUUGUUUGGGAAUGCAGCCCAAAACGGGAGGUAAAUUUCUUCUAAGGCUGAAUAUUGGCGAGAGACCGAUAGCGAACAAGUACCGUGAGGGAAAGAUGAAAAGAACUUUGAAAAGAGAGUUAAACAGUACGUGAAAUUGUCAAAAGGGAAGCGUUUGACACCAGUGUUGUUUUCUCGAAAAUCAAUUAAAAAUGGCCCGAUUUUGUAUUGCUGAGACCUUAAAAGCUCACUGUACAUUUUUCGUGUCUUUUUUAAUGCUCUUUUCGUUUAACAAGUCAACAUCAGUUUCUUUUGUUGUAAAAGGGUCAUUGGAAGGUGGCUUUCUUUUCGGAGAAAGUGUUUAUAGCCUUUGGCCUCUGCAAUCGGAGAGACUGAGGUCUGCAGCGUAGACUCUUCGGGGUUAGAUACAUUUGUGCUAAGUUAUAGCUCUUUAUAGACAACUUGUUGACUAUAAUUAGUCUUGUAGCUUACUCGCUUAUGCUAUUUUACCUACGCUUAGGAUGUUGAGUCGUAGAGCACGCA